UUGGCUUUGUGAAGCAUAUUAGUAAUGUAUUAUUCUCGUGGGCUGGAGAGAUGGCUCAGCCGUUAAAGGCUAGGCUCACAACCAAAAAUAUA
rnacentral:miRNA from 1 species